rnacentral:rRNA from 1 species
UACAGAGGGUGCAAGCGUUAAUCGGAAUUACUGGGCGUAAAGCGCGCGUAGGCGGCUGCUUAAGUCGGAUGUGAAAUCCCCGGGCUCAACCUGGGAACUGCAUUCGAUACUGAGCAGCUAGAGUAUGAGGGAGGGAGGUAGAAUUCCACGUGUAGCGGUGAAAUGCGUAGAUAUGUGGAGGAAUACCGGUGGCGAAGGCGGCCUCCUGGCUUAAUACUGACGCUGAGGUGCGAAAGCGUGGGGAGCAAACAGG